GUUGAACGCUGGCGGCAUGCCUAAUACAUGCAAGUCGAACGAGAGGAAGGAAAGCUUGCUUUUCUGAAUCUAGUGGCGAACGGGUGAGUAACACGUAGGUAACCUGCCCAUGUGCCCGGGAUAACUUCUGGAAACGGAUGCUAAAACCGGAUAGGUAGCAGACAAGCAUUUGACUGCUAUUAAAGUGGCUAAGGCCAUGAACAUGGAUGGACCUGCGGUGCAUUAACUAGUUGGUGAGGUAACGGCCCACCAAGGCGACGAUGCAUAGCCGGCCUGAGAGGGCGGACGGCCACACUGGGACUGCGACACGGCCCAAACUCCUACGGGAGGCAGCAGUAGGGAAUUUUCGUCAAUGGGGGGAACCAUGAACGAGCAAUGCCGCGUGAGUGAGGAAGGUCUUCGGAUCGUAGAGCUCUGUUGUAAGAGAAAAACGACAUUCAUAGGGAAUGAUGAGUGAGUGAUGGUAUCUUACCAGAAAGUCACGGCUAACUACGUGCCAGCCGCCGCAGUAA
rnacentral:rRNA from 1 species